rnacentral:lncRNA from 1 species
CCUCCCUAUUCCCUGAGACACAACAGUAUUGAAAUUGGGCCAAUUAAUAAUCCCACAGUGGCCUCUCACUAAAUGUGAGAGGUGAGGAAGCUGCAGGAGAAAAUUUGAAGCUAGCAGUGUUCAUGAGAUGUAAGUAAAGAAGCCAUCUCCAUAAAAGUACAACGUGACGCAGCAAAUGUUGAUGGAGAAGCUGUAGAAGUUACACAGAAGAUCUAGCUUGGACCAUCGAUGAAAGUGGCUACACUAAACAACAGAUUUUAAAUGUAGAUAAAAUAGCAUUUUAUUGGAAAAAGAUGCCAUCUAGGACUUUCAUAGUUAGAAAAACUCAAUGCCUGGAUUCAAAGGACAAGCUGACUCUUGUCAGGGGCUAGUGCAGCUGUGACUUUCAGUUAAAGCCAAUGCCCAUGGACUAUUCUGAAAAUCCCAGGGCCCUUAAGAUAUGCUGUAUAAACGCAACAACAAAGCCUGGAUGACGUUGGGUCUGUUUACAGCCUGGUCUACUGAGUAAGCCCACUGUUGAGACCUAGUGCUCAGAAAAAAUAGAUUUCUUUCAAAAUAUGGCUGGGUGCAGUGGCUCACACCUGUAAUCCCAGCACUUUGGGAGGCUGGAGCGGGUGGAUUGCUUGACGCCAGGAGUUCAAGACCAGCCUGGGCAACAUGGUGAAACCCUGUCUCAAAAAACAAAUCAAAAAACCAAAAUAUUGCUACUCAUUAACAAUGCACCUGGUUACCCAAGAGCUCUGAUGGAGAUGUACAAGGAGAUGAAUACUGUUUUCAUGCCUGCUAACACAGUAUCCAUUCUGCUGCCGAUAGAUCAAGGAGUACUUUUGACUUUCAAAACUUAUUAUUUAAGAAAUACAUUUUGUGGUUUCUCUGAUGGUUCUGGGCAGUCAGUUCAAAACCUUCUGGAAAGGAUUCACCAUUCUAGAUGCCAUCAAGAGCAUUCAAUUCACGGGAGGAGGUCAAAAUAUCAACAUUAAUUGGAAUUUGGAAGAAAUAGAUUCCAAUCCUCAUGGAGGACUUGGAGGGUUUCAAGACUUCAGAGGAGGAAAGAACUGUAGAUGGGCUGAAAAUAGCAAGAGAACUAGAAGUGGAGGGGCCUAGAGAUGUGACCGAAUUGCUGUAAUCUCAGGAUCAAACUUGUAUGGAUGAGAAGUUCCUUCUCAUGGACGAGCAAAGAAGGUGAUUUCUUGAAAUGGAAUCUACUCCUGGUGAAGAUGCUAUGAACAUUGUUGAAAUGACAAAAGAUUUAGAAUAUUCCAUAAACUUAGCUGUGGCCAGGGUUUGAGAGGAUUGACUCCUAAUUUUGAAAAGUUCUACUGUGGGUAAAUGCUGUCAAACAGCAUUGCAUGCUACAGAGGAAUCUUUCAUGAAAGAGUUAAUAAAUGCAGCAAACUUCACUGUUGUCUUACUUUAAGAAAUUGCCACAGUCACUGCAGGCUUCAGCAACUUAUCUUUUCCUACCCUCCUCUCGCAUUUAAAAGUACUUUUAAUGUAUGUACAUUAUUUUUAGGCAUAACACUGCUGCUCAUUUAAAAAAACUACAGUAUGAACCAUGUUAUAUGCAGUGGAAAGCCAAAAACUUCAUGUGACUUACUUGCUUGUAUUUGGUUUAUUGCAGUGGUCUGGAACUGAAAGUGAUGGGUAUUUCUGAGUUAUGCCUGUAUUUAAGAAGCUGAGUGAAACCCAAAGAAGUCCAUGAUAGGACAGACUUCUGAAAACUAAAGACAGAAAAAAGCUUGAAAGCAUCAAGAAAGAAGUGAAAUCUUAACUAGAGGGAAAAGUAACUUAGAUGACAGUGGAUUUCUCUCUGGAAACCAUGGAGGCCAGAAGGAAGUGAGACAAGUUCUUUUAGUGCCAGAAGAACUAUCAACUUGUGGCUGGGCACGGUGGCUCACGCCUGUAAUCCCAGCACUUUGGGAGACCAAGGUGGGCAGAUCACUUGAAGUCAGGAGUUUGAGACCAGCCUGGCCAACAUGGCGAAACCCUGUCUCUACUAAAAAUACAAAAAUUAGCCAGGCAUGGUGGCGCAUGCCUGUAAUCUCAGCUACUUGGGAGGCUGAGGCACGAGAAUUACUUGAACCCGGGAGUGGAGGUUGCAGUGAGACAAGAUCCUGCCACUGCACUCCAGCCUGGGCAACAGAGCAAGACUGCCUCAAAACAAAACUCUGUCAACUCCAAAUUCCUAUUUGGUGAAAUGAUCCUUCAGGAGUGAUGGGGUAAUAAAAACAUUCUCGGUUGAUAGGAAACUAAAAGAAUUUGUUGAAUGAGUCUACCCUAUAGACCUUGAAUAGACCAACCCUAAAGGAAGUUCUUGAACCAGAAAGGAAAUGUUUAAAAAAAAAAAGUUUUGGGAUGUCAGGAAGAACGAUGGAAACAGCAAAAAUACGGUUGCACCUGGACUUGAUAUGAAAGUAACCAUCAGAAAAUCAACAGAGAUCUUAAACUUGCCUACCACAGACACCUGCAGGAAUAUACUAAGAAUCAUCAUAGUGGACCUUUAUUGUCUCCUGAGCACCCAUUCUUUGUUCUUUCAGAAACACAACUGGUUUUGAGAAUCCAUCCCUUCUUCACUCAGUCCACGUAAAGGUUAGGAUGGUAAAAGUGUUAUACCUCUUCCUCCAGAGUUGGAGCCUAUGACACUGAUGACACUGGCAUGGCAAGCCAAAGCCCUACACCCACCAGCACACUUACUGGUUCCAAAUUGAUCUACGCUGGUAUAAUCAGAGUGAAUCUCAGAACUUUGGACAGAGCUGUGAGCAGAGACUGACUUUCCUGCUGUCUCCAGGUAGCUGCAAGGCUGAACAGCAGCACCUAUUUUAUUACCAUCUUACUGUCAUUCAAAGAAGGCAGAGCUGAAGGCUGGAGAAAAACUGAGUACUAGCAACAGUUUUUGAACCCUGAAUAUUGUCAUAACUGAAGCUAGAAUUAUCCCUGGACUUGUUUGCCACUAAAAUUUCCUUGUUUUGCUUACCCUGGUUUCAGCUGGCACCCUGAUCACUUGAAAGGAACAUAACUGAUAUACUGUCCUUUGUUUUUCUUUCCUUCCUCUUCUCCGCCUUUGACGAUUUUAAAUUAGAAAUCUACCUGCCUCUAAUCUCUUUAAUUUUCUCAUUUAUUUACUGCUGCCUAUUUUCCAAAACACUGCUUCUCAAAUAUUCCUGGCUCAAAAAUCAUCUACGUCUUCAUGACAUAUGAAACCCCUAGAAUCCAGCCUUUCCCCAGCUUUUAAUAUCUCCUAAUUGAUUUCUCAAUUCCAGUGAAAUGAUUCCAUUUUAUUUUUUUCCCAAACACAUCACAAAUAUUCCUAACUCUUGUGAGCAAUUUUCUCUUAUUCUUCUCAACUUAUCUAAAUCCUAACUUUUCAAAAGAUCUAGCUCAAGUUCUGUCUUGUCAUAUUUUGAGUUCCUUUCUUUGGCAUUGUAUUAUUAUGUAUCUUUCCAUGUACACAUGUGUGCAUUAUCUCUCUGAUAAAACUAACUGGCUAGAGGAUAGGAGUAAAGACUCAAUUC